rnacentral:tRNA from 1 species
GGGGUUGUAGCUUAGUGGUUAGAGCGUCCGACUCGCGCUUUAAGGUCGAGGGUUCGAUUCCCGAUCCCA